CCUACGGGGGGCUGCAGUCGAGAAUCUUUCGCAAUGGGGGAAACCCUGACGAAGCGACGCCGCGUGCAGGAUUAAGGCCUUCGGGUUGUAAACUGCUGUCAGCAGGGGAGAAACGCUUUUGGUUAAUAACUAAAAGAAUUGACUGUACCUGCAGAGGAAGCCACGGCUAACUCUGUGCCAGCAGCCGCGGUAAUACAGAGGUGGCAAGCGUUGUUCGGAUUCAUUGGGCGUAAAGCGUUCGUAGGCGGUCCGUAAAGUCAGAUGUGAAAGCCCACGGCUUAACCGUGGAACUGCAUUUGAAACUCAUGGACUCGAGGGUAAGAGGGGUAGAAGGAAUUCCAAGUGUAAGGGUGAAAUCUGCAGAGAUUUGGAAGAACACCAGUCGCGAAGGCGUUCUACUGGCUUACUUCUGACGCUGAGGCCCGAAAGCUAGGGGAGCGAACGGGCUUAGAUACCCCAGUAGUC
rnacentral:rRNA from 1 species